CUUGAUUUGUUAUAAGAGGUCCAGCCUGCCCAGUGACCAUGUUCAACGGCCGCGGUAUCCUAACCGUGCGAAGGUAGCGUAAUCACUUGUUCUUUAAAUGUGGACUAGUAUGAACGGCAUCACGAAGGUUAUACUGUCUCCUUUUUCUAAUCAGUGAAACUAAUCUCCCCGUGAAGAAGCGUGGAUAAAAUUAUAAGACGAGAAGACCCUAUGGAGCUUUAAACAACACAGCACUUACCUGAGAACCUUGAAUGUUUCUGCAACACUAACUCUUAGAGUAAGAUGACCGCAAGUUUUUGGUUGGGGUGACCACGGAGUAUAUCAUAACCUCCAUGUUGAAAGAAUUUUUCUAAGCCAAGAACAACCUAUCUAAGCAUUAAUAAAUUAACAUCUAUUGACCCAAUAAAUUUGACCAACGAAC
rnacentral:rRNA from 1 species